UCCUCGGUAGCUCAAUUGGUAGAGCGUCCGGCUGUUAACCGGCAGGUUGUAGGUUCGAGUCCUACCCGAGGAG
rnacentral:tRNA from 1 species